rnacentral:tRNA from 5 species
GGGGUUGGAUGGGUGACUGGUGUCUUCCUGGGUCUUCAAAACCCUGAGGGGCCUGCGUGCCAGGCUCGGUGGGUUCGAUUCCCACACAAUCCCGCCA